UCUGUCAUUCUGUAGCUACCCUCAGCUAGCUGGAAAUUGUAUCUAAGGCUCAUCACAUCAAAGAAAGGGACAGCAUUCAACGCAUACAGUAAUCUUUACAGAUGUGACCAUCCACCUUGAAAAUGCCACUGCAAAGUUUCAUUAUUAAUAGCAGCAUUAAAGUGUUUUGUGCUUUCUGAAUGAUGAGUUUUGCAAAUAAUCUUGUGAGAGAAUAUUGACAUUAGUGUACCACAGCUCUACAGACACGUGAAAAACACAGGUAAAACACCUACACAAAGUUCUUGUUCAAUGCGACAACAGAGUUGUCACCAACAGGGGAGAAGGACGGAAGCUAUCAAGGCCAGCAGAAGAAUAAUGGAAGAUGGUAAACAUGUACUUGCAAUCUCUUGAUAGGAAGAACAAGCGAUGGAGUUAGAUAAGAAGACAACGCUGGUUGUAUCUCUAAGCAACAGGCAAUCAAACGGCCAGAUAAGUAUCUUCAUAAAGUGCAACAGACUCAAAUGCAUGGGUCAUAACUGAAGAAUCACUUCCUGGUUCAGCUUAGGCAGUAAAAGUUUAUGACCUACUUGAAAAUCCUUCAAACCUAAAAAUGUAUUUUCCAAUAGAUUUGUUUUCCAUAAAGAAUGUAAGCCAUUUAGGGCAUGCCGUGGUAAUAGCAGGAAAUGAGAAUACUUACAGUAGUGGACGAGAACACAAAAAAUGCAGUGUCGUACAUGAACUGUAUUUACAAUAAAACCUUCAGAUUCAGA